CCUACGGGUGGCAGCAGUGAGGAAUAUUGGUCAAUGGGCGCGAGCCUGAACCAGCCAAGUAGCGUGAAGGAUGACUGCCCUACGGGUUGUAAACUUCUUGUAUAAAGGAAUAAAGUGAGGCACGUGUGCCGUUUUGUAUGUACUUUAUGAAUAAGGAUCGGCUAACUCCGUGCCAGCAGCCGCGGUAAUACGGAGGAUCCGAGCGUUAUCCGGAUUUAUUGGGUUUAAAGGGAGCGUAGAUGGGUUGUUAAGUCAGUUGUGAAAGUUUGCGGCUCAACCGUAAAAUUGCAAUUGAUACUGGCAGUCUUGAGUCCCGUUGAGGUCGGCGGCAUUCGUGGUGUAGCGGUGCACUGCUUAGCUCUCACGCAGCUCUCCGAUUGCGCAGGCAGCUUCCUACACUGCCACUGCCAUUGAUGCUCGACAGUGUGGGUAUCAAACCGGCUUAGCUACCCCAGUAGUC
rnacentral:rRNA from 1 species